GCAAGUCGAACGGAAAGCCCUUCGGGGUACUCGAGUGGCGAACGGGUGAGUAACACGUGGGUGAUCUGCCCUGCACUCUGGGAUAAGCCUGGGAAACUGGGUCUAAUACCGGAUAGGACCACACACUUCAUGGUGAGUGGUGCAAAGCUUUUGCGGUGUGGGAUGAGCCCGCGGCCUAUCAGCUUGUUGGUGGGGUAAUGGCCCACCAAGGCGACGACGGGUAGCCGGCCUGAGAGGGUGACCGGCCACACUGGGACUGAGAUACGGCCCAGACUCCUACGGGAGGCAGCAGUGGGGAAUAUUGCACAAUGGGCGCAAGCCUGAUGCAGCGACGCCGCGUGAGGGAUGACGGCCUUCGGGUUGUAAACCUCUUUCAGUAGGGACGAAGCGAAAGUGACGGUACCUACAGAAGAAGGACCGGCCAACUACGUGCCAGCAGCCGCGGUAAUACGUAGGGUCCGAGCGUUGUCCGGAAUUACUGGGCGUAAAGAGCUCGUAGGUGGUUUGUCGCGUUGUUCGUGAAAACUCACAGCUUAACUGUGGGCGUGCGGGCGAUACGGGCAGACUAGAGUACUGCAGGGGAGACUGGAAUUCCUGGUGUAGCGGUGGAAUGCGCAGAUAUCAGGAGGAACACCGGUGGCGAAGGCGGGUCUC
rnacentral:rRNA from 1 species